rnacentral:rRNA from 1 species
GACGAACGCUGGCGGCGUGCUUAACACAUGCAAGUCGAGCGGAAAGGCCACUUCGGUGGUACUCGAGCGGCGAACGGGUGAGUAACACGUGAGUAAUCUGCCCCUGGCUUUGGGAUAGCCACCGGAAACGGUGAUUAAUACCGGAUACGACCACUUCUCGCAUGGGAUGGUGGUGGAAAGUUUUUCGGCCAGGGAUGUGCUCGCGGCCUAUCAGCUUGAUGGUGAGGUAAUGGCUCACCAUGGCUUCGACGGGUAGCCGGCCUGAGAGGGUGACCGGUCACACGGGGACUGAGACACGGCCCAGACUCCUACGGGAGGCAGCAGUGGGGAAUAUUGGACAAUGGGCGGAAGCCUGAUCCAGCAACGCCGCGUGAGGGAUGACGGCCUUCGGGUUGUAAACCUCUUUCGCCUGUGACGAAGCGCAAGUGACGGUAACAGGUAAAGAAGCACCGGCCAACUACGUGCCAGCCGCCGCAGUAAUAC